rnacentral:tRNA from 1 species
UCUAAUAUGGCAGAUCAUAAGUGCAAUGAACUUAAGCUUCAUAUAUAAAGAUAAUUCUUUUAUUAGAA